rnacentral:rRNA from 1 species
UACGUAGGGUGCAAGCGUUGUCCGGAAUUAUUGGGCGUAAAGAGCUCGUAGGCGGUCUGUCGCGUCGGAUGUGAAAAUCCAGGGCUCAACCCUGGACCUGCAUUCGAUACGGGCUGGCUAGAGGUAGGUAGGGGCAAGCGGAAUCCUGGUGUAGCGGUGAAAAUGCGUAGAUAUCAGGAGGAACACCGGUGGCGAAGGCGCACAUCUGGCCCCAAUACUGACGCUGAGGCGCGAAAGCUAGGGAGCAAACGGGG